ensembl:lncRNA
CGCUUUUUUGACCUUUAGUUGCUGUUCAAAUUCAUACAAACCUGUUGCUCUGACAAAACAAAAAAACAGUGCACUUUGAACAUUUUUACUUACAGCCGUAAAAGAAAAAGAGAAAAAAAAUUUAAAAAGUUGAAUUUAAAAUAAAACUUUGUAAAGCAGCGCUCUGUUUCACAUGAGGGGGGCACAGCCACAGGCUGGGGCACAUCUGACAGGCUGUACCCCACAAUGAGCCCUGGUCUCUGGGAUGAAUGGGGUUCCCACGCCUCCUCCUCUGAGGCCACUCACUGCUCACACUGCAGAUGCACACAAGGCCACGCACACAGGGCUACACACACGGGGCCACGCACACAGGGCUACACACACGGGCCACACACACACAAGGCCACGCACACAGGGCUACAGACACGGGCCACGCACACAGGGCCACGCACACGGGGCAACUCACCAACAGGUGCAGGUCAGCCCAGUCGGACACACACACACACACACACACACACACACUUCAGAGCACGAGGAGCAUAAAAAUGAAUAUUUGUGGCGUCUCGUCAAGUUUAGACAAACUUUAAGACUUUGGUUUUACUUUGACAGUUUUGAAGUUUUAAACAGUUUUAUUCAUCACAGAAAAGUUCCUCCCUGAAAAAACAACACAGAAAGUGACAAAACAGAAACUGAAUCCUGCAUUUGUGGUUUCCUGACCUCUCAGUUUCAGCUCUGCUCACCUAUGUCACGUGUGUGUGUGAGGAGUGUGUGUCGAGGAGGGACGGGGUGUGUGUGUGUGAGGAGUGUGUGUGUCGAGGAGGGACGGGGUGUGUGUGUGAGUGUGAGGAGUGUGUGUCGAGGAGGGACUGUGUGUGUGUGAGUGUGAGGAGUGUGUGUCGAGGAGGGACUGUGUGUGUGUGUGUGUGAGGAGUGUGUGUCGAGGAGGGACUGUGUGUGAGUGUGAGGAGUGUGUGUCGAGGAGGGAUGGGGUGUGUGUGUGUGUGAGGAGUGUGUGUCGAGGAGGGACGGGGUGUGUGUGUGAGUGUGAGGAGUGUGUGUAUGUGAGGAGUGUAUGUGUCUGUGUGUGAGUGUGUGUCGAGGAGUCUGUGUGUGUGUGUGUCCUCCGAGGAUUGUGUGUGUUCAAGGAAGGAGUGUGUGUGUCAAGGACUGUGUAUGUAUUUGUCGAGGAGUGUGUGUCGAGGGGUGUGUGUUGAGGAGUGUGUGUGUGUGUGUCAGGGAGGAAGUGUGUGUGUUGAGGAGGGAAUGUGUGUGUCUCCUGGAGUGUGUGUGUGUGUGUGUGUGUGUGUGUGGUGGAGAGUUUGUGGAGGUGUGUGUCGUGGAGGGGGUGUGUAUGAGUGUGUGUUUGUGCAGUUUGAUUUUUCUAAGGAAAAAAAUUCACUUUUAUCAAUUUAUCAGUUUAUCUAAUUCUAUUAAAUGUAUUAAUGCAAUGAAAG